rnacentral:rRNA from 1 species
UACGUAGGGACCAAGCGUUGUUCGGAUUUACUGGGCGUAAAGGGCGCGUAGGCGGCAAUUCAAGUCAGCUGUGAAAUCUCCGGGCUUAACUCGGAACGGUCAGCUGAUACUGCUUUGCUAGAGUGCAGAAGGGGCAAUCGGAAUUCUUGGUGUAGCGGUGAAAUGCGUAGAUAUCAAGAGGAACACCUAUUGCGAAGGCAGCUCGCUGGGACGUUACUGACGCUGAGACGCGAAAGCGUGGGGAGCAAACAGG